UACGAAGGGGGCUAGCGUUGCUCGGAAUCACUGGGCGUAAAGGGUGCGUAGGCGGGUCUUUUAAGUCAGGGGUGAAAUCCUGGAGCUCAACUCCAGAACUGCCUUUGAUACUGAGGAUCUUGAGUUCGGGAGAGGUGAGUGGAACUGCGAGUGUAGAGGUGAGAUUCGUAGAUAUUCGCAAGAACACCAGUGGCGAAGGCGCUCACUGGCCCGAUACUGACGCUGAGGCACGAAAGCGUGGGGAGCAAACAGG
rnacentral:rRNA from 1 species